GACGAACGCUGGCGGCGUGCUUAACACAUGCAAGUCGAACGAAGAGCGAUGGAAGCUUGCUUCUAUCAAUCUUAGUGGCGAACGGGUGAGUAACGCGUAAUCAACCUGCCCUUCAGAGGGGGACAACAGUUGGAAACGACUGCUAAUACCGCAUACGAUCUGACCUCGGCAUCGAGGAUGGAUGAAAGGUGGCCUCUAUUUAUAAGCUAUCACUGAAGGAGGGGAUUGCGUCUGAUUAGCUAGUUGGAGGGGUAACGGCCCACCAAGGCAAUGACCAGUAGCCGGUCUGAGAGGAUGAACGGCCACAUUGGGACUGAGACACGGCCCAGACUCCUACGGGAGGCAGCAGUGGGGAAUCUUCCGCAAUGGACGAAAGUCUGACGGAGCAACGCCGCGUGAGUGAUGACGGCCUUCGGGUUGUAAAGCUCUGUUAAUCGGGACGAAAGGUCUUCUUGCGAAUAGUUAGAAGAAUUGACGGUACCGGAAUAGAAAGCCCGG
rnacentral:rRNA from 1 species